AGAGUGUCUGCUAAUGUGGAAUUCUGAAGAAACUUCCACAAAGUAAUAUGAAGGAACAUUAUUUGGAUGAAGAAGGCAGCACUCCUUCAAAGGAAAAGCAGCAUUUGCACAGAAUGCGAGUGAAAUCAGAAUUAAGUGUUCCCACUGGCCGUUUUAAUAAGUGAGCCAUUGCCGCCGUUGAACAAAGUGACUUCGCCGACUGCCAAAGCAAAGAAGUGGAUCUGUCAUUUGGAAUAAACUAGGAGCAGGGGAUCGCUCCCUCGGCUCCAUUCAGGAAUGCUGGGACUGGCAACCCCGCCUGCCACACAAGCAUUGACAUGGCCCAGGUCCUGGGGAGUAACACCCGCCCUUCCAUGAUGCGUUGCCAGCGGGUUUCCUCUGAGUUGGAAUGCACCAGAGUCGGGGUACUUGCAGGUGCCCCUGCUGAUGGGUGUGGUGACCGCCAGUGUCAACGGUGGGAGAAGAUAAUAGUCCGCAGCAGCUGCAGGAGGACGCAAGCUCCGCUCAUAACUACG